GAUGAACGCUGGCGGCGUGCCUAAUACAUGCAAGUCGAGCGAACGGACGAGAAGCUUGCUUCUCUGAUGUUAGCGGCGGACGGGUGAGUAACACGUGGAUAACCUACCUAUAAGACUGGGAUAACUUCGGGAAACCGGAGCUAAUACCGGAUAAUAUUUUGAACCGCAUGGUUCAAAAGUGAAAGACGGUCUUGCUGUCACUUAUAGAUGGAUCCGCGCUGCAUUAGCUAGUUGGUAAGGUAACGGCUUACCAAGGCAACGAUGCAUAGCCGACCUGAGAGGGUGAUCGGCCACACUGGAACUGAGACACGGUCCAGACUCCUACGGGAGGCAGCAGUAGGGAAUCUUCCGCAAUGGGCGAAAGCCUGACGGAGCAACGCCGCGUGAGUGAUGAAGGUCUUCGGAUCGUAAAACUCUGUUAUUAGGGAAGAACAUAUGUGUAAGUAACUGUGCACAUCUUGACGGUACCUAAUCAGAAAGCCACGGCUAACUACGUGCCAGCAGCCGCGGUAAUACGUAGGUGGCAAGCGUUAUCCGGAAUUAUUGGGCGUAAAGCGCGCGUAGGCGGUUUUUUAAGUCUGAUGUGAAAGCCCACGGCUCAACCGUGGAGGGUCAUUGGAAACUGGAAAACUUGAGUGCAGAAGAGGAAAGUGGGAUUCCAUGUGUAGCGGUGAAAUGCGCAGAGAUAUGGAGGAACACCAGUGGCGAAGGCGACUUUCUGGUCUGUAACUGACGCUGAUGUGCGAAAGCGUGGGGAUCAAACAGGAUUAGAUACCCUGGUAGUCCACGCCGUAAACGAUGAGUGCUAAGUGUUAGGGGGUUUCCGCCCCUUAGUGCUGCAGCUAACGCAUUAAGCACUCCGCCUGGGGAGUACGACCGCAAGGUUGAAACUCAAAGGAAUUGACGGGGACCCGCACAAGCGGUGGAGCAUGUGGUUUAAUUCGAAGCAACGCGAAGAACCUUACCAAAUCUUGACAUCCUUUGACAACUCUAGAGAUAGAGCCUUCCCCUUCGGGGGGGCAAAGUGACAGGUGGUGCAUGGUUGUCGUCAGCUCGUGUCGUGAGAUGUUGGGUUAAGUCCCGCAACGAGCGCAACCCUUAAGCUUAGUUGCCAUCAUUAAGUUGGGCACUCUAAGUUGACUGCCGGUGACAAACCGGAGGAAGGUGGGGAUGACGUCAAAUCAUCAUGCCCCUUAUGAUUUGGGCUACACACGUGCUACAAUGGACAAUACAAAGGGCAGCGAAACCGCGAGGUCAAGCAAAUCCCAUAAAGUUGUUCUCAGUUCGGAUUGUAGUCUGCAACUCGACUACAUGAAGCUGGAAUCGCUAGUAAUCGUAGAUCAGCAUGCUACGGUGAAUACGUUCCCGGGUCU
rnacentral:rRNA from 1 species